UACGUAGGGGGCAAGCGUUGUCCGGAAUCAUUGGGCGUAAAGCGCGUGUAGGCGGUCCGGUAAGUCCGCUGUGAAAGUCGGGGGCUCAACCCUCGGAUGCCGGUGGAUACUGUCGGGCUUGAGUACGGAAGAGGCGAGUGGAAUUCCUGGUGUAGCGGUGAAAUGCGCAGAUAUCAGGAGGAACACCAAUUGCGAAGGCAGCUCGCUGGGACGUUACUGACGCUGAGGCGCGAAAGCGUGGGGAGCAAACCGG
rnacentral:rRNA from 1 species